GUGCAGGAGGCUUGGUGAGGUGAUGCACUGAGUCCACAGGUCUGGGAACGAACCCAGUCAGCGACUCACUGCAUGCUCAAGUGUGUCUGAAUAAGUUAACUUCAAAACCAAACCGAGUGCUCAAGCCAAUGUCUCUCCACUGGUGAUGGAGAACAGCCUGGCAGAACUUUCCGCAUGGGUAGGUUCUGGGGAAUGAAUGGGGAGUCGGGAAAUCUGGGUGACAACUCUGGGUCUGCCACUAAUUGGCUCAAUGACCUCAGACAUGUUGCCUGACCUCUCUGAGUCUCAGCCUUCACAUCCCCAAAAUGACAGGCAGAUGAUCUAAUAGUCAGCCACUGAGUGUCUUCCAAGGCCUAUGGACUGAAUGCAACACCAAGGUUCCUGGAGAACCUGUUUCUGACCCAGGCAACCAUGCAAGUUGUGAAGCCAGAGGGGAGCUUGAGCACCAAGUUCAAGACGGCAGUCUUGCAAGGCUUUCCUCGAAGCAGCUCCUGCAGACUGGCUCUUUCACCUGAAACGCCGUAGUUUUGGACACAGAACCUUCGAGAGAAGAGCAAGGAUUUGGACUGUGGCCUGGAGACGGAAUCUGCAGCGCUCUUUCCCAAGGAAUGCAUCGCAGCCCCUCAGGCUGGAACAGGCAGGUGCUGUGAAAUCUGGCUGACAGGUGCAUGGGGUAAGAUGGCUGACUGGCAGAAGGAAGUUGUUCUCUGGGGUGUGUGUGACCCAAAGACCAAUGGAGGGAGGAAGAACAGAUGCUCCAAAUGGCCACUGCACUUCUCCAGUGUCUGAAGGGGUUUAAAGAGGCCCAAGACUGACAGAGCUUUCGAAGCCUUUCCUGCUCCCUGGGACUCACCUGAGUCUAGUCACGUUUCUGUUGGCGUAAGGAAGAAGAUUUUGCAACCACAUCCACCCAAUGAUAGAAUGGGAGUCCUCUCCACAUAGUGAGGGUGGACCCUGUGCUUGCUGCAAGGGCUGUGCCACUGUC
rnacentral:lncRNA from 1 species